AGCCUUUGUAUUGUUCCCUUGAGGAGAAAUGCCUUGGGGGUAAUGAAAGAAGAAUCCAGUAGUAGAAAAAUUUCAAGAGCAUAUAGCAGGAUUGGUGAAUGAAGCAACACCAGGGACUUCUCAGCCAUUCUCCAGUGCUCACAAGAAACUAGGAAGAAGACAGGAGUAUAUUUGUUGCCAACAUGAUGGCAAGAGGAAAUUUUGUAAAUUCUGAUUCACCUGACCCAUGCUGAUAUCCUUGGAUGUCAUGGCUUCACUUUCAAGUACUUCUGAAGUAUUGGACUAAUGUACCUGUUGUCCACCUGCAACCUAUCUGCUGUUCAUUAUGCAGGUGAAGACACAUUCAACCAACCAGCAAGAUAAAGGAAGCCAGGGCUACAUCAGCUUUAAUACAACAGAGUAACACGGAAUUUCAAACCC
rnacentral:lncRNA from 1 species